rnacentral:rRNA from 1 species
AAGUCGAACGGUAACUUUUAGUGCUUGCACUGAAAGACGAGUGGCGGACGGGUGCGUAACGCGUAUGCAAUCUACCUUUUACUAGGGUAUAGCCCAGAGAAAUUUGGAUUAAUCCCCUAUAAUAUCAUGAAAUCGCAUGGUUUUAUGAUUAAAGCUUCGGCGGUAAAAGAUGAGCAUGCGUCCUAUUAGUUUGUAGGUGAGGUAACGGCUCACCUAGACUACGAUAGGUAGGGGCCCUGAGAGGGGGAUCCCCCACACUGGUACUGAGACACGGACCAGACUCCUACGGGAGGCAGCAGUGAGGAAUAUUGGACAAUGGACGAAAGUCUGAUCCAGCUAUGCCGCGUGCAGGAUGACAGCCCUACGGGUUGUAAACUGCUUUUAUACAGGAAGAAACACCCCGACGUGUCGGGGCUUGACGGUACUGUAAGAAUAAGGAUCGGCUAACUCCGUGCCAGCAGCCGCGGUAAUACGGAGGAUCCAAGCGUUAUCCGGAAUUAUUGGGUUUAAAGGGUCCGCAGGCGGUUUUUUAAGUCAGAGGUGAAAUCCUGCAGCUCAACUGUAGAAUUGCCUUUGAAACUGAAAGACUUGGGUUAUUGUGAAGUGGUUAGAAUGUGUGGUGUAGCGGUGAAAUGCAUAGAUAUCACACAGAAUACCAAUUGCGAAGGCAGAUCACUAACAAUUAACUGACGCUCAGGGACGAAAGCGUGGGUAGCGAACAGGAUUAGAUACCCUGGUAGUCCACGCCGUAAACGAUGGAUACUAGCUGUAUGUCUACCUCAGUAGAUGUGUGGCCAAGCGAAAGUGAUAAGUAUCCCACCUGGGGAGUACGAUCGCAAGAUUGAAACUCAAAGGAAUUGACGGGGGCUCGC